rnacentral:antisense_RNA from 1 species
CAAGACCUUUUUCUUUUCUUGCUUGUAUAGCUAGAUUUUUUAG